rnacentral:tRNA from 2 species
GUUCCCGUAGUUAAAGUUUUAUAACGGUGGUUUUUCAGGCCAUAGAUCUCGGAGAGAGGCCGAGUGGGAAUU